rnacentral:rRNA from 1 species
UACGGGGGGAGCAAGCGUUAAUCGGAAUUACUGGGCGUAAAGCGUGCGCAGGCGGCUUUGCAAGACAGAUGUGAAAUCCCCGGGCUUAACCUGGGAACUGCAUUUGUGACUGCAUGGCUAGAGUGCGGCAGAGGGGGAUGGAAUUCCGCGUGUAGCAGUGAAAUGCGUAGAUAUGCGGAGGAACACCGAUGGCGAAGGCAAUCCCCUGGGCCUGCACUGACGCUCAUGCACGAAAGCGUGGGGAGCAAACAGG